rnacentral:lncRNA from 1 species
GCUGCUAUGAACAUAGGGGUGCAUGUAUCUUUUUGAUACAAUUCUAUAAUUUAAGAUUAAUAAUUACAUUUUAGGAAAAGAAAACCAUUAAUGUCAGUGGUAGCAUCACUGCUAUUCAGUUGAACCAUAAGAAACUGCCAAUAAUCAGCUGUUUUUUGACAUAUAAAAUAACAGUUUUAUAUGGUUAAACUUAACACAUGCCAUGUUUUCUGCAGUUACCCCCUGAAUAUGAUCCAGUGCAUUUGGUAUAGGUUUCUGAGUAAGCUGGAGAAAGCUAUAGAAACUAACAAGUAACCCAAUUGUCCCACUUCACAUACAACUAACUAAAGUUGAAGUUAUUUCCUUUAAAGGGAGGUCACUUAAACUGAUUGCCAGAUUUUAACUGUUCAGUUGUGAUAUCAUGAUUCUUAUCAAUACAUCACAGCAAGUAACAUUCUAAGUGAACAGAAUUAGCUCUCCUUAGUUCUCCUGGAGAAAAAUAAAAUCUCUUUGCUUCUGCCACCUUGUUGCCAAUUUCAUUUUCCUGCUUUGCUAGUUUUCAAUAGAAGAAUUUCUAUGAUUGUAUGAAGACUUUGCUUUUCCAGAAAAAAAAGUAUUUGGACCCAUGGCUUAAAGGACUUGCUUCUUUUCAGGACGCCAGGCAAAAAGGUUAACUGGUAAGAAAUCUAUAUUUGGUUUAAAAAGUGUGUAAAUUCAGUACCUGUUGUGCCCUAAGCCCAGGAGGAAACAGAAAACAGAAGAAUGGGAUCCAGUUCCUUCCCUUUAGAGCUCAGUCAGUGUCUGGUGCAGGAAUGAUCAAGACAAUCACCUGAGGCAAAGCUAUGAGCAAAAGUCCAAAGGGAUUUUGGAAGGGACUCACUCCGAAUGCAGCCAGCCGAUCCCAAGCUUUCUUGUGGAACUCUGGUGUUACUUGUAAGCUCUUUUUUUGUUUUGUUUUGUUUUGUGUUUUGCUUUUCUUUUUUUUUUUCCCCCUCCUGAUGGUACAACCUUGUCUUCAGACUCCCUACUCUUCACUUUUCGUGGACACUCAGAAAAGACUAGUCGGUUCCCAAGAAGGGUGACCUGGAACAGUCUCUUUCCCCAGAAGAUAGAAUAGCUCAGUGUGGGAGUUCCCGUUGUAGCUCAGCCGGUUAAGAACCCGACAUAGGGUCCAUGAGGAUGCAGGUUCCCAGGCUAGGGAUCGAAUUAGACCUAUAGCUGCCAGUCUAUACCACAGCCACAGCAACGCAGGAUCUGAGCCAUGUCUGCGACCUACCCCACAGCCUCAUGGCAACACCAGAUCCUUAGCCCACUGAACGAGGCCAGGGAUCGAACCCGCAACCUCAUGGUUCCUAGUCGGAUUCAUUUCCGCCGUACCAGACGGAACUCCCUGAGCUAUUUUUUAUCAACAGUGUACUCUCGGGGCCUAGGCAUAGUAAGCCAACAAUGACUGUGAAUGACGAAGUCGAUCAAAAGAAUAGAAUAUGAUCAGCUCCCAUUAGUGGACCACUUACUAUGUGCCAAGCACUGUGCCAGGCUCUUUGCAUAAGUAAUUCCACCAGAGGAGUUCCCAUGGUGGCUCAGCAGGUUGAGGACCCAAUGCUGUCUCUGUGAGGAUGCAGGUUUGAUUCCUGGCCUCCCUCGGUGGGUGAAGGAUCCAGCAUUGCUGCAAGCUGCAGCAUAGUUUGCAGAUAUGGCUUGGAUCUGACGUUGCCAGCAGCUGUAGCUCCAACUUGACCCAUGGCCCAGGAACUUUCACAUGCCACAGGUACAACCAUCAAAAUAAAAAUAAAAAUAAUGAUAAUAAAUAAUAAUUCCAUCAGACUGGUGGAACCAUUGAUGGUACCAGUGAUCAUGCCAUUACACUGAUGCUAUGAAGCAGAUUUUCUUUAUUUUUCAAAUGAGAGCCAGCCUAUGGCAAAAUUGCUCUGUGGAUAGUCUUUAUCUUUGGAUAAAUAUCUGGACCCAAGGGGUCCAGAAUCCAACAUUUUUUUUAAUGGCCACACCUGCGGCAUAUGGAAGUUCCCAGGCCAGGGAUGGAACCCGAGCCCCUGCCGUCAGAUUCCCACCGCAGUGGGAACUCCCAGAAUUCAACACCUUUGAUUCUUCCCCCUCUGCCCAAACUGUCUAACCCCCUCCCCAAGCCUGAUGCUGUCAGUACCAUUGGAAUAAACUGAUCCUAAAGGAUGAGCAGCUGAGAGUCCCAGAUGGACCUCUGGGUAACCUGGGCCCACGUGUACGAGGUACUUGCUGAAUUUUCGUGAGGGAAUCUGGAGACAACAUUCACUGGGCUCCUUGGUUUUCUUACCUUAGGGACCCCUCAGGUUGUGGUGGAAAUUUCAAACUAGAAAAGAAGGGAACGGGUUUCUGCUUUCACCCCUUCCCCUGCCCUAGGUGGGCAGAGAACUCGACCUCUUUUGGGGGGAUUCCUUAUUUAUCGAGAUGUCUUGCUCAGAGUCCCUCUUCCAGAAAGGGCUCGUUCCCCUUUCAAGAAAGCUGUGAGGCAUGUGGCGCCUCACAGCCUCCACUGACAACCGGUUCAGAUGGCCCUCCACUCCUGAGCCGAGCUAGUGGUGUCCUUGGGGCAGCCCAUCCAGUGACUGCGGGAGACUGUGGUACAAGGUCCCAUCCAUUUCUGCCUAAGCCGGGACUCUCAGAGUUCCCAGGGGGUCUGACAGAGGCCGUCUCAGAUCCCUUUUCCCUUUCUCAAGUGUCCCUCCCAGUAAGCUUUUCACACUCCUAAAUCUGCCUUAGUAUCUCCUUUCCGGGGACCCAGAUGGUACCGCUGGGAUGCUCUUAGCUCCAAGCAACCUCCCUCGGUGAAGGGAGUGCAUAUUUUAGAACUGAAUUUGAGCCAGUACCAGCAGAAUAUGUAAUCACCCUGGAUGCUAGGGACCAAGGAAUACUUCCACUCUGGCACAUGAAUCACAUCAGCUUUAUUUCUUGCUAUUCAUCUUGGCACGGACUGGGUCUUGGUGUUAUAUAACACGGCCUGACUUGUUGCUCCCGGCUUUCUCAAUGAGCGAUUUGUUCAAUUCAGAGUGUGACUAAAGACAAGGUCACUCAGUCCGUUUCUAGCCAGCCAGUUAGUUUCAAAUCCAGUUGCCUGUUACAAAUGGAUUGUUAUCUGGUCAUAUAUGGACUCCAGAAGCCCCUCGCCCACACUGAGUCAUGACUUAGGUUAUUCGUUUCCCAGCUACCUGGCAGACUGUUACCUUUCCCAUGGGACAUUUAUAAAAUGUUCUAUAUUCUGGGGUUGGGUGAGGAAGUCUUUUUUUUGGAGGGAGGGGGUUCUUUUAAGGGCUGCACCUGCAGCAUAUGGAAGUUCCUGGGGUAGGGGUCGAAUCGGAACUGUAGCUGCCAGCCCAUGCCACAGCCACGGCAACUAAGGAUCUGAGCCGCAUCUACACUUCCACCACAGCUUGCAGCAAUGCCAAAUCCUUAACCCACUGGGUGAGGCCAGGGAUCAAACUCACAUCCUUAUGGUUACGAGUCGGGGUCUUAACCCACUGAGUCACAACAGGAACUUCCAAGGGUGAGGAAGUCUAAUGUGGUUGGUGAUCAGGUACUUAACUUGUGACCACAGGUGGAAGAGAAUAGUUUUUGCUUUUCUGGGGUGUGGAAGCAUCUCCCAAUUCCUUAUUAGAAGAGCAAUACUCCCCCAAACUACCCAUCCUUCCAUCCAUUCAUCCAUCAAACAUUCAUCGACUGAAAGAGUUGCUGCUUGGCCUUCACUUCAUCACACUUGCAGCUGCAUCCUUAGUGCCACAUUUUGGGGAAAUCUACAUGCAGCUUUUUCAGUAGUAACUCUCACCUCUGGGGUUUAAAUUGUCACUUGUUCCUUUUCUAUCUGUCCUUCAUGUCAGAACGUCCAUCCUUGACCUGUGUUAUAGAGUCAAUAAGGGAGUUCCCGUUGUGGCUCAGUGGAAAUGCACCUGACUAGUAACCGCGAGGAUGUGAACUAGCCUGGCCACUUCCAUAUGCUGUAAGUGGGGCCCUAACGAACAAACUAACUAACUAACUAAAAUUGAGUCAGUAAGAGAAAGUGCUCUGGGAUCAGACAAUCUUGGGUCAAAUAUGGGUUCUCCCACUUACUGGCUGUGUGAUCUUGGUGAGUUUGCUUAACCUGAGUCUCAGUUUAUACCUCUGUAAACAGAAUGAUCGUUCUCAUCAAACAGAACUAUUAUAAGGAUUAUAUGAAACAAUAUUUGUAAAGCAAUUAUCUAACACUCACUGAUACUUUAUGAUAUCAAAGUAUUAUUUUUUAAUAUCUGGCCCGUGGACAGAUGAUUUUUGUACUGCUGCAAAAUAUAUCCCCGUUAUAACUAUUUGCCUUGGUAAGUGGAUCCUGGCACAGUCCCCUGCUUGAACAAACAUGACUUUGAACAAGACCUUCUUUAUCUGAUUACCAGAUUGUUUCUGAGUUUACGUCUAAGUGCCUUAAAUAUAAAAGUAACUGAUGCAACUUGACUGUACUGUAGUACUUUGUAUUUGCGCGCCGAAGCGAGCACUGUAAUAUACUAGUCUGGAUUCAGGUGUCAGUGUCAUGUUUGCAAUGUGGGACUACAAUUGUUUUAAAAUAAUCUCUGUUCUUAAAAGGUGGGUAGAUGUUUGGGGCCUGGGCAGCUCAGCCCUGGAAUGACUGGUUACUCCUGUCGUCAGUUGGUCCCAUAAAUAGAGCCCAAAGGCUAGCUCUCCAGGGUGGGGACACAGGACAGGAUGGACCCUUGGUCCAUCUGCUUCUGUUGUACUGACUGAGGCUGGCUCCUCAGACUCACCUUUCUCCACAAAACCUUGACAUCCCAGACAGCCUCCAUCUCCCUCUCCACUGGGCCGGGAGACAAAAUUGUGGUCCAUUAAAGCUGGUGGGUUUUUUUAGACAAAGCUCUGCUCAUCUGGAGGGAAAAAUUCUCUGGCUCUGUUCCUGGAAUUACGUGGUCCGUCGUCCAUUGGACCAAGCCACGUUUUCUUUUUCCCCUGUUGUUCCUCUUCUACAUCACUCUUGGCUUUUCUGUUCUCCUGUAUUGCUUUUCUUUUUCUUUUUGUUUCGUUUUUUUUCUUUUCUUUUACUUUCUACCUUAUAAUUAGAUUGUUUUCAAAACAUCCACACACUGGCCAGGAGUUUCUUGAGCACACAGCCCUUAUCUUAUUAAUCUCUUUAGCUCCUGAAAGUGCCAAGUACAGAGUAGGCAUUUGUUUUGUUUUUUUAGGGCUGCACCUGCGGCCUAUGGAAAUUCCCAGGCUAGGGGUCAGAUUGGAGCUGCAGCUGCAGUCUUACACCACAGCCACAGCAACACCAGAUCCGAGUGUCAUCUGUGAUCUAUGCUGCAGCUUGCGGCCACACUGGAUCCUUCACCUACUAAACAAGGCCAAGGAUCAAACCUACAUCCUCAUGGGUACUAGUUGGGUUCUUAACCUGCUGAACCAUAAUGGGAACUCUGCGAGCAGGCAUUUGUAAAUGGUAGUUGAGCUAAGUUGAGUCAUCAUUAUUUCUCAAAAAUCCUUUAGAAGCACUAGCUCCCAAAUCAGCUUGCUAUGCUCAAGACAAAAUUACUCUGUCAGAUGAUUGCCCUUUGUAUCUUGCAUUAUGUAAUAGAGGUAUUCCCUGUUGAUGGGUAGUCAGGUGAACUUUUGUAAAAUGAAUCCUUAUUCCAUGAACUUAUACUAUCUCCUGGGAGAUGCUAACACCCGUGGUUACUCUUUUUCUAUUUCCUUUUUUGGUCAUCUUUCCCCAUGUCUCUAUCCUUCCUAUCUUCCACUGUUUGAAAGUCAGUAUCACCCAACUGUGGUAUUUAUUGGUCAUCUAUAAGUUGUGAGAGUGUUUUCAGGUCAUUAAUUUACAGCACCUACUGCAAAUAUUUAAAUGCAGCGCACAAAUAUUAUUUAAGGGCAUCCUGUUGGAAAGCUAAGCAUCGCUCUUGAUCGACUUAAUAGUCGUUUGGCUUUGGUUUUGUCUGGGUUUUCUUUUUAAAAAAAUUUUGUUGAAGUAUAGUUGAUUUAUAAUGUUAAUUUCUUCUGUACAGCAGAGCGAUUCAGUUAUACUCACAAAUUCUUUUUUAAAAUAAAUGUUAUUGGAGUAUAGUUGACUUAGAAAGUUGUCUUAGUUUCAGGCGUACAGCAGAGUAAAUCAGUUAUGCAUAUACCUAUAUCCAUUCUUUUUCAGAUUAUUUUCCCAUGUAGGUUAUUACACAGUAUUGAAAUUUCCCUGUGCUAUACAGCAGGACCUUGUUGUUUAUCCAUCCUGUAUAUAAUAGUUUGCAUCUGCUAAUCCCAAACUCCCAAUCCAUCCCUCCCACCACUUGGCAACCACAGGUCUGUUCUCUACAUCUAUUUCUGUUUCGUAGAUAAACUCUUUUUAUUGGGUUUUUCUCUUUUUCCUUUUUGGCCACCCCUCGAUAUACGGAGUUCCCGGGCAUUUCCCCACCUUCAUUGAAAGUUGCUAAGGAGUUCUCUGGUGGCCUAGCACUUAGGAAUCCAGCAUUGUUACUGCACCUGCUUGGGUCACUGCUGUGCCACAGAUUCAAUCCCUGGCCCAGAAACUUCCGCAUGCCUCAGGCACAGUUUAAAAAAAAAAACAAAACAAAAAAA